GCACGCGGACCACGCGGCCAUGCCGGGGUCCCUCCAGGAGGCGGAAGCGCGGCACACUGCCUGUGCGGUUGGCCAGCUCGCCAGCAUCUAGGACGGUGGGGUCCAGGCGCAGGGUGGCACCCUGGGGCCAUGGCCCACCUGCCCACACAUGCAGCAGAGCCCUCACAGUGACGUUCACUACGGCUGAUGCAUUGACACCCCUAGCCAGUGCCAGGACUCUGAAGUGGUCAUGAGAGGAGGAGAAGUUGGUGAAGGCAAAGACCACCUCGCCCUGGUCUAUCUGGAAUUGGCUGAAGGCCGAGGUGGGCCGCCCGCCCACCAGGAGAUGCCCAUACUGGGGUCCCUGGAUGAGGCGGUAUGCUGCCUCUGGCUCCUCCCGAUCUGAAACCACCCGGAGCUGCUGCUGGCUCAGUGAGGAGCGCCCCAAAGCUUGGGGCACCUCCAGGGGUGCCCGCAGCUGCACCUCGAUGGCGGAUGGUAGGAUGUCCACAGCCAGGGACAUGGGCAGGGGUGGGCACGAAAGUGGAAGCCAUCCUGCUGGGUGCCCCCACCGCCGUGGGCAU
ensembl:lncRNA novel transcript, antisense to CSPG4